rnacentral:rRNA from 1 species
AUUGAACGCUGGCGGCAUGCCUUACACAUGCAAGUCGAACGCGAAAGGGGGGCAACUCCUGAGUAGAGUGGCGCACGGGUGAGUAAUGCAUCGGAACGUGUCCUGUAGCGGGGGAUAACCUAGCGAAAGCUAGGCUAAUACCGCCUACGUCCUACGGGAGAAAGUGGGGGAUCGUAAGACCUCACACUAUAGGAGCGGCCGAUGCCGGAUUAGCUAGUUGGUGGGGGAAAAGCCUACCAAGGCGACGAUCCGUAGCUGGUCUGAGAGGAUGAUCAGCCACACUGGGACUGAGACACGGCCCAGACUCCUACGGGAGGCAGCAGUGGGGAAUUUUGGACAAUGGGGGAAACCCUGAUCCAGCCAUGCCGCGUGAGUGAAGAAGGCCUUCGGGUUGUAAAGCUCUUUCGGCCGGGACGAAAUCGCACGCGUGAAUAUCGCGUGUGGAUGACGGUACCGGAAGAAGAAGGACCGGCUAACUACGUGCCAGCCGCCGCAGUAA